ensembl:lncRNA
CUUUCUUAUUCUUGCCUCCCUCAGCUUUGGUCUUGGCAAUGAAAUUACGGCAACCUCAGGGAGGAAACAUGAGGACCUUCUGGUCCUUUCUGACCCAGAGCCAGGUCAAUCCUUGAGGAGAUUAUAAGGAUUUCAUUAACUACAAUAAAGAGAGAAGUACUGGCAAAAUCACAAUGGCAAAACUUGUAGGCUGUGCAAGAUCUUCCACAUCUCCCUACGCUGUUUGUUUUAACCAUUUUGUCAUCUGCUUCACCUUAACCCUUGCUAUAGCUGCCCCAAGCUAGGCUGCAUCUAUAUUUGGAGUGAAUCCAGGUAGUUAAGAAGAUUGAGAUAAAUUUAAGGACUCGUGAAUUCUCUCUGUUAUUGUUGAGGUCUUUUUAAAAGCAAUGCAUUCUCUAAAUGUGUCCAAGCAGUUGGUACAAUGGUCUUCAAACUGAGGUAUGUGAACUUUCACAAACACUUUUCAAGAAAUGUGGAAACAAGGGCAGUUUUCAGGGAAUCUUUUGCUGGAUCCUCAAUUUCCACAAGUACUCUUUUUCUAAAAUGAUCUGCCUGAAAAUUCCCCUUGGCCUCUUUUCUCAUCUCCCCUACCCUCAUCACACUUUCCCACUUGUUAAAAUGGAAUACCUUUCAACAAUUUGAAAUCUUACUUCAUUGACUUACUUCAGUGAUUUGCUUUGGGGGCGUUUACAAACUUCUAGGGCAAGACACAGUUCAAAAAUGUUGGUGUUGGGGUUAAAGAGAGUGAAUGAUAGUGACUGGAUUACAAAUUCUUUUGUAGGUCAGAUGGUUUCCAAUUCUUUGCUUUCAACAAAAUUGAUGGAUGACCUAAUAAAAUUGUCAGCUUAGAUUUAUUAAAAAUUAAUGUUGAUGAUAAAUUACUAUAUGGGUUUUAGUUUAUAAUUCAGAAGGAGUUCAAAGAUUUGAGUGACACUGCUAUAAUCAAAUACCUUCCAUUCCCAUCUACUUGUGUAAACAAGUUUUCUCAGGGAUCAUUGUACGUAAAACAAAAAAUAUGAAUAAAAUUGAUGCUGAAGACUGUCUUAUUCCAGCCAUAUGUAAUAUUCACCUAUGAAUACAUCAACUAAAUAGGGGGAAAACAGUCUACCCAUCAAACUAAUAGAAGCAUCUCCAAAAUAAUUCAUUAUACCUAAAAAGUAUUUAUGCUAAUGCAAUUGUGAAGGAAUUUUAACACUUAGAACCUUAAGGUCACAGGAAAUAAAAAAAUAAAAUUUCAACCUACAUACAUAUUUUCCAGGGAAGUAUGAUAGGGUGAUUAAAACAAAGACUUCCAAGCAUAAAAUACGUUGCAUUUGAAUAAAAUUCUGUGGAGGAAGUGGGAUGGAAACAUGAGUUCAAGGAGAAAAUGUAAAAAUUUUAACUGCUAAAGAAGAGCUUGUUCAUAUAUUUAGAUUUUUAUUGGAUAUGGGUUUUUAAGCUGAAUUGUGUACAUUUUAAAGUGAUAUAAAAGAUAUGUUUGGAAACGUCAGUAUUACAAUACACUUUUCAAAUGUCUUUUUGUGACUGGUUAAACUUACAACAAAAAACUCGAGAUAUCAACCUAAAAACAUGUGAAACGAUACCUAAUUUUUCAAAAUUCUUUUAGAACAUACAACCAAAAUAAAAAAAAAAAGGUCUAAAGACCGCUGUUCUAGGGCAGUGGUUCUCGGCUCUGAUGUAUUUAGGAAUCCCCUGGGAAUCUUGUAGAAGCUGCAGAUUUCCUGGCUCAUCCCCUAGAGAUCCCUUCUCUGUGGAUCUGGAGAAGGUGGGUUUUAACAAGCGCUCCCUGGUAACUCUGAUGUGUGAUCUGUGGACCGGCGUUUGAGAAAAACUGCUUCAAGGUUUCUUCUAAGACCACAAUGCAUCAGCAGAAAGCUGCUUACUUGAAUCAUCUUUUUUCUGGGCCAUCUGUAGAAGUGCUUCUUCUGAGUCAUAUUUUGUGUCACCUCUUCACCUUUUCCUUGGGAUACCCUGAGGAAAUUUUAUGAAGGCUUCCUGUAUUUGUAAAGAAAAUUAUCCAAGACAUCAUUCCAUCACCAACUCUCUUCAGCCACCACCACUGCCCACAGAAAGCUUGGAGGUACUACAGCCAUUUUGCAACAAUGAAGUAGAAGGCCAAGAGAAUUAUGAAGAAACUAACCCGGCACCCAGACAUGGUAGAACUGCUGAAACAGCCUUUGAAUCACCCACCUCCAGACUUAUUGCUAUAUGAGAAAAUUAAAUGUCAUUGUUUAAGCCACUGCUAGCUGGAUUUUCUCUUACUUGCAGCUUAAUGCAUUCUCCCUGGAAUAUUGUAUGAAGGCAGGGCCAAUGGUGUGCCAGGGCUAACUCACACUGGCCUGUGAGACAACUGGACGUAUCUCUU